rnacentral:rRNA from 1 species
GUAAACCCAAGGUUUCCAGGGGAAGGUUCGUCCGCCCUGGGUUAGUCGGGACCUAAGCUGAGGCCGAAAGGCGUAGGUGAUGGACAACAGGUUGAUAUUCCUGUACUACCGAUAACCGUUUGAGGGAAGGGAUGACACAGUAGGAUAAGCUAAGCACACUGUUGGUUAUGUGUGCCCAAGCAUUGAGGCAGUCAAAGUAGGCAAAUCCGCUUUGAUAAUGCUGGGAUGUGAUGGGGAGCGAAAUUUAGUAGC